AUGCAAGUCGAGCGCUCGUAGCAAUACGGGAGCGGCAGACGGGAGAGUAACACGUGGGAACGUACCCUUCGGUUCGGAAUAACCCAGGGAAACUUGGGCUAAUACCGAAUACGUUCGUAAGGAGAAAGAUUUAUCGCCGAGGGAUCGGCCCGCGCCCGAUUAGCUAGUUGGAGAGGUAAUGGCUCACCAAGGCGACGAUCGGUAGCUGGUCUGAGAGGAUGAUCAGCCUCACUGGGACUGAGACACGGCCCAGACUCCUACGGGAGGCAGCAGUGGGGAAUAUUGGACAAUGGGCGCAAGCCUGAUCCAGCCAUGCCGCGUGGGUGAUGACGGCCUUAGGGUUGUAAAGCCCUUUCGGCGGGGAAGAUAAUGACGGUACCCGCAGAAGAAGCCCCGGCUAACUUCGUGCCAGCAGCCGCGGUAAUACGAAGGGGGCUAGCGUUGCUCGGAAUCACUGGGCGUAAAGCGCACGUAGGCGGGUUCUUAAGUCAGAGGUGAAAUCCUGGAGCUCAACUCCAGAACUGCCUUUGAUACUGAGGAUCUCGAGUUCGGGAGAGGUGAGUGGAACUGCGAGUGUANAGGUGAAAUUCG
rnacentral:rRNA from 1 species